rnacentral:rRNA from 1 species
GAGCGGGUGCGAGGCCCAUAGCCGCGGGGUCCGUCUCGGAUGCGAUCUCCUGGGAGUCGGGUUGCUUGGGAGUGCAGCCCUAAUCGGGUGGUAAACUCCACCUAAGGCUAAAUACCGCCGUGAGACCGAUAGCAAACAAGUACCGUGAGGGAAAGUUGCAAAGAACUUUGAAGAGAGAGUUCAAGAGUACGUGAAACUGCUCAGAGGUAAACGGGUGGGCCCUCGAAAUCCUGUGGAGGGAGGAUUCAGUCUGUAGUUGCCGUCGCGCUGGCCGGAAAUUGGAAGGGCUUCCCACGAACGGGGCCGUCCGGUCGCGAGCUUCGGUCAGGACAGACGCAUUUGACUCCCUCUCCGAGGACGCCGCAGCCCGCGGGGAAGUGCAAACGUGACGGCCUUGAGGUCGGGAGAUGGCAGGUGGCCGCUGGCGAGCCUCGUGCUCUUCGGCGGUUGUUAGCCGUCCCGUCAGUGGCUCGUCUCCCCGCGGAGGUAUCAUGACGUCUUUCGAGGCGUCUGACGUCUCCUCCUCCAAGGAUGCUGGACGUGCAGUGGCGAGCAAAGGCAACCGCGCGGCCGCACUACGCCGUAGUGGGCCAGCGUCAGGUCGGUGCCGUCGGCCGCUGAGGACCAGUCGGAGGUUGGAGGCUAGCGGCGAGUAGGUCGGUCACCCACCCGACCCGUCUUGAAACACGGACCAAGGAGUCUAACAUGUGCGCGAGUCAAUGGGUCUUGAACAAGCCCAGAGGCGCAAUGAAAGUAAAGGUAGGCACCA